AGACGACAUGCAGGAGCACUAUGAGAAUGUGACCUCGCUGGGGCUUCCAGUUUUCAAACCUGAUGUGAUCUCAGAGCUGGAACAAUGGGAAGAGCCAUUGGUCCCAGACCUCCAGGGUUCAGAGGAAAGAGAGAUCUGAGAGCUCCCUGCACAGGUGAUGCAAUGGUAUGUGAGAAGAGGAGCAGACUUGUCAGCAGGAAAUGUUGAGCAAGUGGAUAAACACAGAGCAUUAUCGCAAAGAUCAAAAAGCAGUGUGACCAGGAGUCAUGAUCAGGACAAUCCUGUGAGAUUCAGCAGAAAUCAGAAGAGAGCACGGAAACCAUCCAGGGGAGAAAGUGGGUAAAUGUAUUUCCUGUCGGAGAACUCAGAAGGACCUCAAGGAAACGACAACACUGCAGGAAAUCCUCAAGAGAAAGAGAAAAAAUACAUUCAGUGAGUGUGGGAAAAACUUAAGUGACUACUCAGUCAUUACAAAGCAUCAGAGAAUCUGCCCAGGGGUGAGGCCCUAUGAAUGCAGUGAGUGUGGGAAAUGCUUCACUAAGAGCUCAGCCCUUUCUGAACAUUGGAGAAUCCAC